UGGUAUUAAAAAACUUACCGAUUUUGAGGUAUUUCGUUAAAUGGUGUAUUGUGUGAGACUUUUGAGUAGGUGAUAUAAAUACCAAACCCCAUAAAAAAAUCACACCCUCCUAUACCUGAUUCUCACCUUUUUUGUUUUUGGGGAAGAUGAACAAAUGAAGAUAAACAAGAUACUCAUGUCUUUUAUAAGAGCUUCGUUUAACCAGACUCGAUUCUUUUGUAUUUAGUGGAUAGACUCAGAUAGUUGUAUUUGUUCUCUUUGCUUUCUCUAAUCUAUCUUGUUUUCUU
rnacentral:lncRNA from 1 species